UGGGGAAUCUUGGACAAUGGGGGAAACCCUGAUCCAGCCAUGCCGCGUGAUCGAUGAAGGCCUUAGGGUUGUAAAGAUCUUUCAGCUGGGAAGAUAAUGACUGUACCAGCAGAAGAAGCCCCGGCUAACUCCGUGCCAGCAGCCGCGGUAAUACGGAGGGGGCUAGCGUUGUUCGGAAUUACUGGGCGUAAAGCGCACGUAGGCGGAUCAGUCAGUCAGGGGUGAAAUCCCGGGGCUCAACCCCGGAACUGCCUUUGUUACUGCUGGGCUUGAGGUCGAGAGAGGUGAGUGGAAUUCCGAGUGUAGAGGUGAAAUUCGUAGAUAUUCGGAGGAACACCAGUGGCGAAGGCGGCUCACUGGCUCGAUACUGACGCUGAGGUGCGAAAGCGUGGGGAGCAAACAGG
rnacentral:rRNA from 1 species